rnacentral:rRNA from 1 species
AACAAACGCUGGCGGCGUGCCUAAUACAUGCAAGUCGAACGAGGAAAGCUUUCGGGGGAGUACUAGUGGCGCACGGGUGAGGAAUACAUGGGUAAUCUGCCCUCGAGUUGGGGAUAACCAGUCGAAAGAUUGGCUAAUACCGAAUAAGACCACAGGAUCUGCGGAUCUAGGGGUUAAAGGUUUUUCGCUUGAGGAUGAGCCCAUGCGGGAUUAGCUAGUUGGUGAGGUAAUGGCUCACCAAGGCUACGAUCCCUAACUGGUCUUAGAGGAUGAUCAGUCACACUGGAACUGAGACACGGUCCAGACUCAUACGGGAGGCAGCAGUAGGGAAUAUUGCACAAUGGGGGAAACCCUGAUGCAGCGACGCCGCGUGAGUGAUGAAGGCCUUCGGGUCGUAAAGCUCUGUCGUAUGGGACUAACACAAUGAAGGUACCAUGCAAGAAAGGAUCGGCUAACUUCGUGCCAGCCGCCGCUGUAA